UAGUAGUCAGAGAUAUCCGAGUUCAUUGAAAGUUGAAUAACCGACAUUAAACGGCCCCAGAAGCGGGCGACGGCCGCCUUGUAAUUCUCCUUUAAAGUGAAAUGCAGUUUACAGUGAUUACGAAGGAAAAAGAGAAAGAGAGAGAGAGAGGGAGAGAGAAGCGCGCGGCAGCAAUUAAAUAGUACGUUUCUGAUGUUGCUACUUAUUAUUAAACUCGCGAGCGAGUGAGCGAGUCAACCAGUUGACUUUAAACCACACGAUAAAUUAGUCUUACAGUGAAUUACGCCCAAAUAUAUAACACGUGCGAAACCCAGAACUGGAAUGUCUCAUGAUAUGAUCAAGGCCAAAACAAUUUUACGCUCUCCUCGUCGCAACACAUGUCGCAUUAAAAAGUGACAAUCCCAAUGGUGCAGGCAACAGAUCUUUUCACAAAAGAGAUUUCAUCGGAAAAACUGAUAAAGGUAGUUUAUACUUCUUUGGAGAUACUUUUCAUUCCGUUAUGGCAAUUAUUGUAAUAUCUUUGUUCACUCUACCGAGUGAAUUGAUUGGCGUGACUUUAGAUGACUUCACGAUCUGAAAGAGGUUAAAGUAUGACUCGACGUGAUUUGAAGUUACGUGAGUACGGCUAAAUGCGUAUGCUGUUUAUGUUAUAUGGCUGCUUCUCGUACGUCCUUCGGGAAAAAAGGAAAGACACAAAAGAGAUGACGACGAGAAAAAAAAAAAAAAAAAAAACAACAGCAGAACCGCCGACAGAUAUGGAGGUAAAUACGGCAACAGCAGCAGCCGCAGCAGCAGAGACUUGUAUUGUGGAAUUAUAAUGUAUCACAAUAUAAGAAAUUCGGGAAUUUCAAUGUAAACAACUCGUCUUCGACUCAACACCGCGACGACAUCGAAAAUACGCAUACACGUAACGUGUAUACAUGUAUGUGCUAUCAGAACCUCAAUUGUUAAGCAACUGAAAUUUUAAAUUUCUUCGACAAAACGCCUUAGCAGUAACCUUUCGCGGCUACAGAUAGGCGAUAAAAUAUCUCGUUGGCACAUUUGAAGAGGCGAUUUGGAAAAUGUUAUAAUAUAUAUUUAAAAAGUGUCUGUAUUAUGAAAAUUAUUCUGCAAUUUUUUCUUAAUUGUUCCUUGAAUAUCAAAUCGCACAAAUGUCAUCAUUCAAGACCUCCACCGCUGCGGUUUGCAGGGACGAAUUCAGACGAACCAUGUAUAUAUAUAUAUAGGAAAAGUCUUACGGAGUAUUUUCUCACGCUAAUAACGAACUGAUCUCGAGAUUUGUAGCAAUAAUUCGUAACUCUACAAAAUAAUAGAGGUCCCUAACAACGGUGCACGUACAACACGGUGCUAGCCGAACAGAAAAUGAGAUUUUCAAAUCUACAGCAGGGAUUAUUACGCAUAUCAUUAUACUCAGGUAUGUACAAAGGUAUGACUGAUAUUCUCUCAUCGUCAACAGUCAUAAUAACUAACAAUGAGUUAUUAUAUAUAGAACGGAUUGUCAUUCGGAUUGUGGUAGCGGUCACCACGCCGAAACGCUCACCCACCCC